rnacentral:rRNA from 1 species
GACAAACGCUGGCGGCAUGCCUAACACAUGCAAGUCGAACGGACAGAACAGGGUAGCUUUUCGGAGUGGAACUGGAAAGUUAGUGGCGGAUGGGUGAGUAACGCGUGGACAACCUACCUUGUAAAGGGGAAUAACCUCGAGAAAUCGAAGCUAAUACCCCAUAAUAACCUUGCUUCGCAUGAAGUAAGGAGGAAAGGCGGCCUUAGCGCUGUCGAUACAAGAUGGGUCCGCGUCUGAUUAGCUAGUUGGUGAGGUAAAGGCUCACCAAGGCGACGAUCAGUAGCCGGCAUGAGAGGGUGAACCGCCACAUUAGGACUGAGACACGGUCCAACCUCCUACGGGAGGCAGCAGUGGGGAAUCUUCUGCAAUUGGCGAAAGCCUGACGGAGCAAUGCCGCGUGAGUGAAGAAGGGCUUCGGGUUGUAAAACUCUGUCCGUAUCGAAGCGAGAGUGUUGUAGUAACUGACAAUACUAGGACGGUAGAUGAGGAGGAAGCCCGGGCUAACUAUGUG